rnacentral:rRNA from 1 species
CCUACGGGAGGCAGCAGUAAGGAAUAUUGGUCAAUGGACGCAAGUCUGAACCAGCCAUGCCGCGUGCAGGAAGACGGCCCUAUGGGUUGUAAACUGCUUUUGUACGGGAAGAACUACAUUUACGUGUAAGUGUUUGGCGGUACCGUAAGAAUAAGGAUCGGCUAACUCCGUGCCAGCAGCCGCGGUAAUACGGAGGAUCCGAGCGUUAUCCGGAUUUAUUGGGUUUAAAGGGUGCGCAGGCGGGUAUAUAAGUCAGAGGUGAAAUUCCAGGGCUCAACCCUGGGACUGCCUUUGAUACUGCAUAUCUAGAGUAUAUUUGGAGUGGGCGGAAUGUAGCAUGUAGCGGUGAAAUGCUUAGAUAUGCUACAGAACACCGAUCGUGAAGACAGCUCACUAAACUAUAACUGACGCUCAGGCACGAAAGCGUGGGGAGCAAACAGGAUUAGAUACCCUGGUAGUCCACGCCGUAAACGAUGAUUACUCGCUGUUGGCGAUACACAGUCAGCGGCUAAGCGAAAGUGAUAAGUAAUCCACCUGGGGAGUACGAUCGCAAGAUUGAAACUCAAAGGAAUUGACGG